rnacentral:rRNA from 1 species
GUACGGAAGGCAGCAGUGGGGAAUCUUGCGCUAAUGCGGGAAACCGUGACGCAGCGACGCCGCGUGGGGGAAGAAGGCCUUCGGGUUGUAAACCUCUUUCAGGAGGGACGAAGCUACUCGGGUUAAUAGCCCAGAGGGUGACGGUACCUCCAGAAGAAGCCCCGGCUAACUACGUGCCAGCAGCCGCGGUAAUACGUAGGGGGCUAGCGUUGUCCGGAUUUAUUGGGCGUAAAGAGCGUGUAGGCGGCCAGACAGGUCUGCUGUGAAAACUCGAGGCUCAACCUCGAGAUGUCGGCGGAAACCUUCUGGCUAGAGUCCGGAAGAGGAGAGUGGAAUUCCUGGUGUAGCGGUGAAAUGCGCAGAUAUCAGGAAGAACACCUAUGGCGAAGGCAGCUCUCUGGGACGGUACUGACGCUGAGACGCGAAAGCGUGGGGAGCGAACAGGAUUAGAUACCCGUGUAGUCCC